rnacentral:tRNA from 1 species
GCCCCCGGCUCAGUGGAUAGAGCACCGCUCUGCUGAACCGUAUGUCGCAGGUGCGAUUCCUUCCGAGGGCA